GACGAACGCUGGUGGCGUGCUUAACACAUGCAAGUCGAACGGGAUUUAGUAAACAGAAGCCUCGGUGGAAGAUUACUAAUGAGAGUGGCGAACGGGUGAGUAACGCGUGAGCAACCUGCCUAUGACAGUGGGAUAGCCUCGGGAAACCGGGAUUAAUACCGCAUAAAAUCGUAGAAACACAUGUUUUAACGGUCAAAGAUUUAUCGGUCAUAGAUGGGCUCGCGUCUGAUUAGCUAGUUGGUGAGAUAACAGCCCACCAAGGCGACAAUCAGUAGCCGGUCUGAGAGGAUGAACGGCCACAGUGGAACUGAGACACGGUCCAAACUCCUACGGGAGGCAGCAGUGGGGAAUAUUGCACAAUGGGGGAAACCCUGAUGCAGCGACGCCGCGUGAACGAAGAAGGUAUUCGUAUCGUAAAGUUCUGUCCUAUGGGAAGAUAAUGACAGUACCAUAGAAGAAAGCUCCGGCUAAAUACGUG
rnacentral:rRNA from 1 species